AUACUUACCUGGCAGGGGAGAUACCAUUAUCAUGAAGGUGGUUUUCCCAGGGCGAGGCUUAUCCAUUGCACUCGGGAUGUGCUGACCCCUGCAAUUUCCCCGAAUGUGGGAAACUCGACUGCAUAAUUUGUGGUAGUGGGGGACUGUGUAUGCACUCUCCCCUG
rnacentral:snRNA from 1 species